rnacentral:rRNA from 1 species
GGUUCCCUACGGGACGCAGCAGUAAGGGAUAUUGGUCAAUGGGGGAAACCCUGAACCAGCAACGCCGCGUGAGGGAAGACGGUUUUCGGAUUGUAAACCUCUGUCCUCUGUGAAGAUGAUGACGGUAGCAGAGGAGGAAGCUCCGGCUAACUACGUGCCAGCAGCCGCGGUAAUACGUAGGGGGCGAGCGUUGUCCGGAUUUACUGGGUGUAAAGGGUGCGUAGGCGGCCCGGCAAGUCAGUAGUGAAAUCCAUGGGCUUAACCCAUG